UACAGAGGGGGCAAGCGUUAUUCGGAAUUAUUGGGCGUAAAGGGCGCGUAGGCGGCCUGGCAAGUGGAAGGUGAAAUCUCUCGGCUUAACCGAGGAACUGCCCUCCAAACUGCUUGGCUUGAGUCCGGGAGAGGUGAGUGGAAUUCCCAGUGUAGCGGUGAAAUGCGUAGAUAUUGGGAGGAACACCGGUGGCGAAGGCGGGUCUCUGGGCCAAAACUGACGCUGAGGAGCGAAAGCGUGGGGAGCGAACAGG
rnacentral:rRNA from 1 species